UUCCCUGUGGUCCAGUGGGUAAGACUCUGUACUUCCAAUGCAGGGGGCUCAGGUUCAAUCCCUGGUAGGGCAA